GCGUCUUAACCACUAGACCACCAGGAGACCUAAAUGCUGCAAAUGUAAAUGGUCAAUAUUUUACUUGUGAUUGACAAAACUGGCACUUAUUUAUAGACACUUUGAACUUCAGCCGAUACAACAAAUUCAGUAGCCUCUCCUCAUGCUCUUUUAGUGUACAGCCAAAGGCAAUGGGGGUCAUCAAAAUAAGCAAUGUCCUGGAGAAGAUUCAUAUUUCCCACAGCUCUCUCCAUUAACUGCUGAAAUGUAGCUGAGGCUCCAGUAAUCAUGUAUGAUGUCCAAAACAGAGAGCCAAGGCUUCCAUUCAUGGAGUGGUGUAUUGAUAAGGAAUUGUUCUGGAAUUCCAUGUCUGGUAGCCUAUGCACAUGCUAAUAGCGCUGUUCUUCUUUCAGGCAAUAAUUACUGGUGAGGCGUAAUGGCUCCUGGGUUCGGUUAUGAUGCCUGCAGCGAACAGGUCGUGGGUUGCCACGGUGGAUCAUCCGUCUCCAUAUUCCUCUGUCCUCUACAUCUGUGUCUUUCAAACCAACAACCUGCAUGUCUUUUCCUCUUUCCUGGUGGCUUUUACCACUUUAUCUAACUCACUCCAGAACAUUUCCUUCUCCUCCACCUCACAACCCACUUGUGUAGCAUAGGCACUGAUAACAUUAUCAUCUUUACGUUAAUCACCCUAGAAAACAAUUUUUACCUCCACUACACUCUUACUUCGCCCCUACAUUUCUCUUUCCAUCCACACCAUCAUAAAAUAGUUUAAACACCCCUUCAAUGUUCCUGGGCUUACUCGCUUUCCACUUGGUCUCCUGAACACACAACAUAUCUACCUUUCUCCUUUCCAUCAUAUUAGCUAAAGUUCUCCCUUUCCCAGUCAUAGUACAAACCCUAACCUCCACUCUCCUCUACUUCUCCUUUCCAUGCUGUCUCUGUAGAUGCCUUCCUCCUCUCCUUCUGACAACAGUAGCCCAAUUUCCAGCCCAGUUACCCUAUUGGCUAACAAUACCUGUGGCGGUCAUUCAUUACCCGGGCUUCAACCUAUCCGACACACUGAGGUUUAGCCAGCUCCAG